GAUGAACGCUGGCGGCGUGCCUAAUACAUGCAAGUCGAGCGAACGGACGAGAAGCUUUCUUUUCUGAUGUUAUCGGCCGACGGGUGAGUAACACGUGGAUAACCUACCUAUACGACUGGGAUAACUUCACGAAACCGGGGCUAAUGCCGGAUAAUAUUUUGAACCUCAUGGUUCAAAAGUGAAAGACGGUCUUGCUGUCACUUAUAGAUGGACCCGCGCUGCAUUCGGUAGUUGGUAAGGUAACGGCUUAGCAAGGCGACGAUGGAUAGCGGACCUGAGAGGGUGGAUGGCCACACGGGCACUGAGAAAGGGCCCAGACUCUGAGGGGAGGCAGCAGUAGGGAAUCUUCCGCAAUGGGCGAGAGCGUGACGGAGCAACGCCGCGUGAAUGAUGAAGGUCUUCGGAUCGUAAAACUCUGUUAGUAGGGAAGAAGAUAUGUGCAAGUAACUGUGCACAUAUUGACGGUACCUAAACAGAAAGCUACGGCUAACUCCGUG
rnacentral:rRNA from 1 species